GACGAACGCUGGCGGCGUGCUUAAUACAUGCAAGUCGAGCGGUGAACCCGACUGAAAGCCUUCGGGCUUGACGUUGGGGGAUCAGCGGCGGAUGGGUGAGUAACGCGUGGGUACCUGCCCUAAAGUCUGGGAUAACAACUCGAAAGGGUUGCUAAUACCGGAUGUGACCGAGAGGUUAAAGGCAGAGAUGUCGCUUUAGGAUGGGCCCGCGUCCCAUUAGCUAGUUGGUGAGGUAAGGGCUCACCAAGGCUGCGAUGGGUAGCCGGCCUGAGAGGGUGGACGGCCACACUGGGACUGAGACACGGCCCAGACUCCUACGGGAGGCAGCAGUAGGGAAUUUUCCGCAAUGGACGGAAGUCUGACGGAGCGACGCCGCGUGGGGGAAGAAGGCCUUCGGGUUGUAAACCUCUGUCUUCAGGGACGAAGAGGGUGUGGGAGACACACCGAAGCCGGUACCUGAGGAGGAGCCCGGCUAACUACGUGCCAGCAGCCGCGGUAAAUCACGUGUA
rnacentral:rRNA from 1 species